UGGGUAGUUGUAGUUGAUAUGUUAGUGGGGAGUUGGGAUAUUGUGGUUAUCUGAUUAUAUUUUUAUUUUUCAAAAAUUUUGGUUCUUUCUCUAAAAAAAUUUGACGUUAAUUAUUCUUCUUUUCGUGGCCCUCUCGAUUUUCCUUAUUUUUGUUACCUUUUUUUUCUGUUCAAACUGUUGUCGGUCUAUGAGUUGCGUUCUGUGUUUUUUCC
rnacentral:lncRNA from 1 species